GACGAACGCUGGCGGCGUGCUUAACACAUGCAAGUCGAGCGAUGAAGCUUCUUCGGAAGUGGAUUAGCGGCAGACGGGUGAGUAACACGUGGGUAACCUGCCUCAUAGAGGGGAAUAGCCUUCCGAAAGGAAGAUUAAUACCGCAUAAGAUUGUAAUAUCGCAUGAUAUAGCAAUUAAAGGAGUAAUCCGCUAUGAGAUGGACCCGCGUGGCAUUAGCUAGUUGGUGAGGUAACGGCUCACCAAGGCGACGAUGCGUAGCCGACCGGAGAGGGUGAUCGGCCACAUUGGGACUGAGACACGGCCCAGACUCCUACGGGAGGCAGCAGUGGGGAAUAUUGCACAAUGGGGGAAACCCUGAUGCAGCAACGCCGCGUGAGUGAUGACGGUCUUCGGAUUGUAAAGCUCUGUCUUUAGGGACGAUAAUGACGGUACCUAAGGAGGAAGCCACGGCUAACUACGUGCCAGCAGCCGCCGUAACAC
rnacentral:rRNA from 1 species